UUAUUUUUUUUGCCAAUUAAAUAAAUUAAUUAGAUUAAGGUAAACCCCCUUCCUCCACGGUUCAUUGCACCACAUGCAUUCUGUUUUUCAUUGGCUACUAUUGGCGGGAUUUUCUAUUGUUUUCUUGCGGGUGAAUCCAUUUUGAUGUUCUAGCAAACACGUUACACUGAACGGCUGUUCACACACAUUACAUUGUUUUUUUUGAAAAUUUCAUCUAUAAGGUACCUGCCUCUUUCAAUUUCAAGAUUGUGUGCACUCAGCCUAAGUUUUGCCAUAGGUGCCCCAUCAUUGAUGAGAAGAUUUAAGGAAAAAAUUACAGAGAAAUCCAAUAACUAGCAGAAAAUUCGAACAACCUAAGGUUUAGAGUAGGCAAUGUAAAGGUAAUGCUGCUAUCUCUGCAAUAACCAAACAGUGUGGUAAGAAUACAGUCUAGUUAUACAUGGUGAGUAAUUUUUUGUUGCACCAUUCAUAUCACAAGAUACUGAAGUUAUUGUGUUAACUGAAGAAAAAAUACUUCAGUAUUUCAAGUUCUUAAUCACCAUGAAUCGAAAA